UACAGAGGGGGCAAGCGUUGUUCGGAAUUACUGGGCGUAAAGGGCGCGUAGGCGGCCCGCUAAGUCGAACGUGAAAUCCCCCGAGCUCAACUCGGGAACUGCGUCCGAUACUGGCGGGCUUGAAUCCGGGGAGAGGGAUGCGGAAUUCCAGGUGUAGCGGUGAAAUGCGUAGAUAUCUGGAGGAAUACCGGUGGCGAAGGCGGCAUCCUGGACCGGCAUUGACGCUGAGGAGCGAAAGCUAGGGGAGCAAACGGG
rnacentral:rRNA from 1 species